rnacentral:rRNA from 1 species
AUGGGAACGCGAAGAACCUUACCUAGACUUGACAUCUCCUGAAUAGUGUAGAAAUACAUGAAGCCCUUCGGGGCAGGAAGACAGGUGGUGCAUGGUUGUCGUCAGCUCGUGUCGUGAGAUGUUGGGUUAAGUCCCGCAACGAGCGCAACCCUUAUUACUAGUUGCUACCAUUAAGUUGAGCACUCUAGUGAGACUGCCCGGGUUAACCGGGAGGAAGGCGGGGAUGACGUCAAAUCAUCAUGCCCCUUAUGUCUAGGGCAACACACGUGCUACAAUGGUGAGUACAGAUAGAUGCGAUACCGCAAGGUGGAGCCAAACUCUAAAACUCAUCCCAGUUCGGAUUGUAGGCUGCAACUCGCCUACAUGAAGUUGGAGUUGCUAGUAAUCGCGAAUCAGAAUGUCGCGGUGAAUACGUUCCCGGGUCUUGUACACACCG